rnacentral:misc_RNA from 1 species
UGUCCAGGCUCUCGCUCUUAAUGA